AUCCAGAUGACGAAUCCCAAAUGGGACAAAAUGCGCAUUCCGGAU
rnacentral:hammerhead_ribozyme from 1 species